rnacentral:misc_RNA from 1 species
CAACCCUCAAGCCCCCGGGCUUGGUGUUGGGGAUCGGCGAGCCUCCGCGCCCGCCGUCCCCCCAAAUCUAGUGGCGGUCUCGCUGUAGCUUCCUCUGCGUAGUAGCACACCUCGCACUGGGAAACAGCGCGGCCACGCCGUUAAACCCCCAACUUCUGAAA